UCGCCUGUUUAUCAAAAACAUAACUAUAGGUAUUAUCUAUAGCGAUUUCUGCUCCAUGUGAUAAUAAAUAGCCGCAGUACCCUGACUGUGCUAAGGUAGCAUAAUCAAUAGGCUUAUAAUUUAAGUCUGGUAUGAAGGAAAAUUUGGGGAUUAGCUGUCUCUUUAGAAAUAGUUGAAUUUUUUUAUGAAGUGCAAAAACUUCAAUUUAAUUAUUAGACGAGAAGACCCUAGAAAUUUUCUAAUUUUAUUUUGUUGGGGCGACAAGGUAACAAUUUAACUUACCUAUAUAUAUAUUUGAAGUAUUAAGGCAGUGUAGUGAAAUUACUCUAGGGAUAACAGCAUAAUUUAAUAAAGUUUGUGACCUCGAUGUUGGACUAGGUACUUUUAAGUUUAGAAGAAUUAAAUGGUUGCUCUGUUCGAGCGGAUUUUACCUACCUGAUCUGGAUUCAGACCGGA
rnacentral:rRNA from 1 species